UCUGGUGCUGCUCUGUGUGGGGCAAUCCCUUCAGGUGGUUUUUCCCCACCUGGCCAGGUUGGCAAAAUCAGCAAAAUGCUGCAGGAAGUGAAACUGCUGCAGGAAGCUCAAGGAAGGGAGAGAGAAGAAAGCAAGCAGGAGGGUGGUGAAGAACCUGGUAAUUGCCCAGAGCUGAAGGGAGCAAUCAGAGGAGCCUGCAGCCAUGAGCCUGGGUGUGUUUUGUAAGCAGCCUGGAACACAGAGGAUGUCUCAAGCCCCUGGGGCACUCCAGCAGAUGGUUUAAAAAGGCUCCAGGCUCAGGAGCUCUCAGAUCCCAGCUCCUUGCUUCUCUCCUCUCCGUUGAGCCAAGUGCAGCUCCCUGCCCAGAGGAUGUCCUUCUGCAGCCAGCAGCUUAGCUCCCGCUGCUCCCCCCCGUGCCAGCUGAGCUGCCCCCAGCCCUGGGCAGAGGCCUGCAGCCAGCCCUGCAUCACCUCCUGCGGGGACUCCUGUGCCGUCAUCUGCCCACCCCCCGUGGCCAUCACCUUCCCGGGCCCCAUCCUCAGCUCCUGCCCCCAGGAGAGCUUCGUGGGCAGCUCAGCGCCGCUGGGGCUGGGCCAUCCCCGGGGGCUGCAAGGUUCUCUUGUCUAUGGGGGCUACUUCUCCUCCUCCUCCCAGCGCUCUGGGGGCUGGGGGCCCUGCUAAGCAUGGCAGGAGGAGAACUGGCAGCAAGAACUGGAGGUGCAGCUGAGGAGCUGGAGGGGACCUGUAGGUGCUGCUCAGCACCCAUGGGGCCUCUCUGCUCUCCUGUUGCUCUGCUUUCAUUUGCUGUCACUUUCCUCCAAGCCCUUCCCUCCCUUGGCUCUGCAGAUCCUGCUCCUCGCUCUUGGAGCUGCUCCCAGCUGCCUUGGGCUCCGUGCAGCUUCUCCUCCGCUUGGCCGCUCUGCUCUGUGGUGCCUCUAUGCCCGCUGGCAGAGGCCCCCAGAGCUGCUCUCACCCUGACAUGUGCCCAGGCUGCUUGAAGCUUGAACCAAGGCAGAAGAAGAACGGGCUGAGAAGAAGCCAGCUUGAUGCAGAUGAAGUUUGCCCUCCUCAAAACUCACUGAACUCCAUCCUGUGCUUUCCCCUUCCCAAUAAACUCCUGAUUGCAUCCAAACCAAA